ensembl:misc_RNA Metazoa_SRP Metazoan signal recognition particle RNA
GCCGGGCGUGGUGGCGCAUGCCUGUAGUCCCAACUACUUGGGAGGCUGGGGCAGAAGAAUUGCUUGAACCCAGGAGGUGGAGGUUGCAGUGAGCCGAGAUUGCACCACUACACUCCAGCCUGGGUGACAGAGCGAGACUCUGUCUCAA